rnacentral:lncRNA from 1 species
ACCAGAGUGGAGGCUUGAAUGGCUUCCAUAAGGCUCAUAUAUUUGAGUGUCGGUCUUUGCAGCUGUAAUACCACCUUUGAUAUUACUACCAAGGUGGGUCACUGUGAUGGUUUGAAUAUUCUUGGCCAGGAAGUGGCAGUAUUAGGAGGUUUUGUUGGUAUAGUUGUGGCCUUGUUGGAGGAAGUGUGUCACUGUGGGAGUGGGCAAUGAGGCCCUGCUCCGAGCUGCCUGGACACAGUCUGCUCCUGGCUUCCUUUGGAUGAAGAUGCGGAACUUCUCCAGCACCAUGCCAGCCUGGACACCUCCAUGCUGCCCACCAUGAUGAUAAUAGACUGAACCUAAGAACCCAUAAGCCAGCCCCAACUAAAUGUUGUGUUUUGUAAGAGUUGCCUUGGUUAUGGUGUCUCUUCACAGCAAUGGAAACCCUAACUAAGACACUGUACUACUGGAUGUGACAAGCAAGAAUGCUAGGUGUUAUAGAGGCUGAACAUACCUGCCCAGUGUACUGAUUCAUUUUUGUGUGUCGACUUGACACAAGCUGGAGUUAUCACAGAGAAAGGAGCCUCCCUUGAGGAAAUGCCUCCAUGAGAUCCAGCUGUAAGGAGACAAAGAAGGAGACCCAUCCCUAGCAGACAACCCAGUCCAUUCCUGGGAGAGAGGAUGGCACCCAGCAAUGAGCAGACUCCACUAGACUGUUUUUCAGAUGGAGACAUUGGAGAAGCAGAGAGGAUGUGCACAAGGGAGGUACCACUGGACAUAGAAAGCAAAUGGAGAGACAUGGCAAGGAGAAAGGAUGUCAGUACUGAAGCUACUGCUAAGAGCCAAGAAAGGGGCUGGAAAGAGGACUCAGCUGUCAAGAACACUUGCUUCCUUCCAGACAACUCAGGUUCAACUCCCAGAAUCUUCGUAGGGGCUCACAACUGUGUGAACCUCCAGUCCCAGGGGGGAAUCUGAAACCUCUUCUGGUCUGUGCAAGCACCAGGCACAAAAGUGGUACACAGAUACACACAGAAGCUAAACACCCAUACACAUAAAAUAAAAAUGUAAAAAGGAUGAA